AACGAACGCUGGCGGCGUGCUUAACACAUGCAAGUCGAACGGAAAGGCCCUGCUUUUGUGUGGUGCUCGAGUGGCGAACGGGUGAGUAACACGUGAGUAACCUGCCCUUGACUUUGGAAUAACUUCAGGAAACUGGGGCUACUACCGGAUAGGAGCUCCUGCUGCAUGGUGGGGUUUGGACAGUUUCGGCGGUUGGGGAUGUAUUCGGGGCUUAUCAGCUUGUUGGUUGGGUAGUGGCUUACCAAGGCUUUGACGGGUAGCCGGCAUGAGAGGGUGACCGGCGACAAUGGGCCUGAGAGACGGCGCAGACUCGUACGGGAGGCAGCAGUGGGGAAUAUUGUACAACGGGCGGACGCCUGAGGAAGAAAUGCUGCGUGUGGGAUGACGGCCUUCUGGUUGUAAACCGCUUUAGCCUGUGACGAAGCGUGAGUGACGGUAAUGGGAAAAGAAGCACCGGCUAACUACGUG
rnacentral:rRNA from 1 species